AGAUUGAACGCUGGCGGCAGGCCUAACACAUGCAAGUCGAGCGGUAGAGAGGUGCUUGCAUCUCUUGAGAGCGGCGGACGGGUGAGUAAUGCCUAGGAAUCUGCCUAGUGGUGGGGGAUAACGUUCGGAAACGGACGCUAAUACCGCAUACGUCCUACGGGAGAAAGCGGGGGACCUUCGGGCCUCGCGCCAUUAGAUGAGCCUAGGUCGGAUUAGCUAGUUGGUGAGGUAAUGGCUCACCAAAGGCGACGAUCCGUAACUGGUCUGAGAGGAUGAUCAGUCACACUGGAACUGAGACACGGUCCAGACUCCUACGGGAGCAGCAGUGGGAAUAUGGACAAUGGGCGAAAGCCUGAUCCAGCCAUGCCGCGUGUGUGAAGAAGGUCUUCGGAUUGAAAGCAACGUUUAAGUUGGGAAGGUAAGGGUUGUAAACUUUAAUACGUUUGACCUAACUUUUUGAACCGUUUAACCGACUAAGAAUAAGCAACCGGCUAACUCGACGCCAGCACGCGUA
rnacentral:rRNA from 1 species